rnacentral:rRNA from 6 species
GGUUGUAGCUGGCUCUUAGGAGC